rnacentral:rRNA from 1 species
GAUGAACGCUGGCGGCGUGCCUAAUACAUGCAAGUCCAGCGAACGGACGAGAAGCUUGCUUCUCUGAUGUUAGCGGCGGACGGGUGAGUAACACGUGGAUAACCUACCUAUAGGACUGGGAUAACUUCAGGAAACCCGAGCUCAUACCGGAUAAUAUUUUGAACCGCAUGGUUCAAAAGUGAAAGACGGUCUUGCUGUCACUUAUAGAUGGAUCCGCGCUGCAUUAGCUAGUUGGUAAGGUAGACGGCUUACCAAGGCGACGAUGCAUAACCGACCUGAGAGGGUGAUCGGCCACACUGGAACUGACACACGGUCCAGACUCCUACAGGAGGCCGCAGUAGGGAAUCUUCCUCAGUGAGCGAAAGCCUGACGGAGCAACACCGCGCUGAGUGAUGAAGGUCUUCGUAUCGAACAACUCUGUCAUUACGGAAGAACAUAUGUGUAAGUAACUGUGCACGUCUUGACGGUACCCUAAUCACAAAGCCACGGCUAACUACGUGCCAGCACCCGCGGUAAUACGUACGUGGCGAGCGUUCUCCGGAAUUAGUGGGCGUAAAGCGCGCGUAGGCGGUUUUUUAGUCUGAUGUGAAAGCCCACGGCUCAACCGUGGAGGGUCAUUGGAAACUGGAAAACUUGAGUGCAGAAGAGGAAAGUGGAAUUCCAUGUGUAGCGGUGAAAUGCGCAGAGAUAUGGAGGAACACCAGUGGCGAAGGCGACUUUCUGGUCUGUAACUGACGCUGAUGUGCGAAAGCGUGGGGAUCAAACAGGAUUAGAUACCCUGGUAGUCCACGCCGUAAACGAUGAGUGCUAAGUGUUAGGGGGUUUCCGCCCCUUAGUGCUGCAGCUAACGCAUUAAGCACUCCGCCUGGGGAGUACGACCGCAAGGUUGAAACUCAAAGGAAUUGACGGGGACCCGCACAAGCGGUGGAGCAUGUGGUUUAAUUCGAAGCAACGCGAAGAACCUUACCAAAUCUUGACAUCCUUUGACAACUCUAGAGAUAGAGCUUUCCCCUUCGGGGGACAAAGUGACAGGUGGUGCAUGGUUGUCGUCAGCUCGUGUCGUGAGAUGUUGGGUUAAGUCCCGCAACGAGCGCAACCCUUAAGCUUAGUUGCCAUCAUUAAGUUGGGCACUCUAAGUUGACUGCCGGUGACAAACCGGAGGAAGGUGGGGAUGACGUCAAAUCAUCAUGCCCCUUAUGAUUUGGGCUACACACGUGCUACAAUGGACAAUACAAAGGGCAGCGAAACCGCGAGGUCAAGCAAAUCCCAUAAAGUUGUUCUCAGUUCGGAUUGUAGUCUGCAACUCGACUACAUGAAGCUGGAAUCGCUAGUAAUCGUAGAUCGGCAUGCUACGGUGAAUACGUUCCCGGGUCU